GCAUCGAUGAAGAACGCAGCAAAAUGCGAUAAGUAAUGUGAAUUGCAGAAUUCAGUGAAUCAUCGAAUCUUUGAACGCACAUUGCGCCCGCCAGUAUUCUGGNGGGCAUGCCUGUUCGAGCGUCAUUUCAACCCUCAAGCACAGCUUGGUGUUGGGACUCGCGUUAAUUCGCGUUCCUCAAAUUGAUUGGCGGUCACGUCGAGCUUCCAUAGCGUAGUAGUAAAACCCUCGUUACUGGUAAUCGUCGCGGGCACGCCGUUAAACCCCAACUUCUGAAUGUUGACCUCGGAUCAGGUAGGAAUACCCGCUGAACUUUAAGCAUAUCAAUAAGCGGAGGA
rnacentral:rRNA from 1 species